rnacentral:rRNA from 1 species
CCUACGGGCGGCAGCAGUGAGGAAUAUUGGUCAAUGGACGAGAGUCUGAACCAGCCAAGUAGCGUGAAGGAUGACUGCCCUAUGGGUUGUAAACUUCUUUUAUAUGGGAAUAAAAUGUUCCACGUGUGGGUUUUUGUAUGUACCAUAUGAAUAAGGAUCGGCUAACUCCGUGCCAGCAGCCGCGGUAAUACGGAGGAUCCGAGCGUUAUCCGGAUUUAUUGGGUUUAAAUGGAGCGUAGGUGGAUUGUUAAGUCAGUUGUGAAAGUUUGCGGCUCAACCGUAAAAUUGCAGUUGAAACUGGCAGUCUUGAGUACAGUAGAGGUGGGCGGAAUGCGUGGUGUAGCGGUGAAAUGCUUAGAUAUCACGAAGAACUCCGAUUGCGAAGGCAGCUCACUGGACUGCAACUGACACUGAGGCUCGAAAGUGUGGGUAUCAAACAGGAUUAGAUACCCGAGUAGUC